ACGCUCGACACCUACGGGAGCAGCAGUGGGGAAUAUUGCACAAUGGGGGAAACCCUGAUGCAGCGACGCCGCGUGAAGGAAGAAGUAUCUCGGUAUGUAAACUUCUAUCAGCAGGGAAGAAAGUGACGGUACCUGACUAAGAAGCCCCGGCUAACUACGUGCUAGCAGCCGCGGUAAUCUGAGGCGGGCUGGACAAGGC
rnacentral:rRNA from 1 species